rnacentral:rRNA from 1 species
UGGGGAAUAUUGGACAAUGGGCGCAAGCCUGAUCCAGCCAUGCCGCGUGAGUGAUGAAGGCCCUAGGGUUGUAAAGCUCUUUUGUGCGGGAAGAUAAUGACGGUACCGCAAGAAUAAGCCCCGGCUAACUUCGUGCCAGCAGCCGCGGUAAUACGAAGGGGGCUAGCGUUGCUCGGAAUCACUGGGCGUAAAGGGUGCGUAGGCGGGUCUUUAAGUCAGGGGUGAAAUCCUGGAGCUCAACUCCAGAACUGCCUUUGAUACUGAAGAUCUUGAGUUCGGGAGAGGUGAGUGGAACUGCGAGUGUAGAGGUGAAAUUCGUAGAUAUUCGCAAGAACACCAGUGGCGAAGGCGGCUCACUGGCCCGAUACUGACGCUGAGGCACGAAAGCGUGGGGAGCAAACAGGAUUAGAUACCCGAGUAGUCCCUGAGCGGGCUGGCAAGGCGCAU